GGCUCACCUUGCAGAGGUUGUUCCUCUGCAUGUCCAUAACUGGGCAAGAUCGGGGGAAAAAAAACGCGGCCAUUAAUUACAACCGUAAGAAGGACGAUCUGAUCCCAAUCACAGAUCCCAGCCGUGAGAUCAACCUGAGGAGGAGGAUUAUCAAUGCCUGGGGCCUCAUGUAUAAACGAUCUGAUUGUGUGGCGAUUGGGUAUUUGGAGAAAGAAAAG